AAGUCGUAACAAGGUUUCCGUAGGUGAACCUGCGGAAGGAUCAUUAACGAAUACGUUUGUCGGGAAGGGUUGCUGCUGGCCCCCUCGGGGGCAUGUGCGCGCCCCGACCGCAUUCCACCCCUUUCACACCUGUGCACAAACCGUGGCUUGUCUCCUCCCCCCGGGGGGUGUGACUUCCGCGAACUUUUCACAAACUCCCAGUAUUUACGAGAACGUACAUUUGUAGUAGUGCCCUCGGGUGCGAAUAAAUACAACUUUCAGCAACGGAUCUCUUGGCUCUC
rnacentral:misc_RNA from 1 species